ensembl:ncRNA F14F3.17 ncRNA
GGUUAAAAAAGCCAAUUUGACAAAAGAAUAGAACAAUGCUGUAGAAAUGGACCCAGCUCGGUUUGAGGAGAUCAAAAUCUUGAGAACGAAAAGGAGAAGGCUCAUG